rnacentral:rRNA from 1 species
AAAUUGAAGAGUUUGAUCAUGGCUCAGAUUGAACGCUGGCGGCAGGCCUAACACAUGCAAGUCGAACGGUAACAGGAAGCAGCUUGCUGCUUCGCUGACGAGUGGCGGACGGGUGAGUAAUGUCUGGGAAACUGCCUGAUGGGGGGGGAUAACUACUGGAAACGGUAGCUAAUACCGCAUAAUGUCGCAAGACCAAAGAGGGGGACC